AAUGAACGUUGGCGGCGUGGAUUAGGCAUGCAAGUCGAGCGAGAACCCCGCAAGGGGGGACAGCGGCAAACGGGGUAGUAAUGUGUCGGAACGUGCCCUCAGGUCGGGGAUAGCGGCGGGAAACUGCCGGUAAUACCCGAUGACCUCGAGAGAGCAAAGGUGUGACUCCGCCGGAGGAGCGGCCGACAUGGUAUUAGCUAGUUGGUGGGGUAACGGCCCACCAAGGCGAUGAUGCCUAGGGGAUGUGAGAGCAUGAUCCCCACCAUUGGGACUGAGAUACUGCCCAGACACCUACGGGUGGCUGCAGUCGAGAAUCUUCGUCAAUGGGCGAAAGCCUGAACGAGCGACGCCGCGUGCGGGAUGAAGGCCCUUGGGUUGUAAACCGCUGUCGAGGGGGAUGAAGGCAUUCAGGUUCUCCUGAAUGUUUGACAGAGCCCUGGAGGAAGCACGGGCUAAGUUCGUGCCAGCCGCCGCUGUAACAC
rnacentral:rRNA from 1 species